GAUUGAGAAACGGGCAUGUUUUGUUUUAAUAAUGAUGGUCGAGAAACGAGAUUAUCUUGGAUACGUCUCGAUUAAUUAUACAAGAUACAUAUUACCUCUCGCUAGAACAAGUAUUGAAUAAUUUUGUUCACCAAGAUUUCAACAAAUGAAAAGAAAGCACAUAGGAUUCUCUUUUGUUUCUGCUAAAAUUUGAACAUUAGACCUCAUGAUUCUCAACCACUUCGUUGAUCACUAAGCCACAUCAUUGAGUUCAUACUAGAAACGAAGAUAUUUUGUAAAGUAAAGGAAGCAGAGAACAAGUACGAUGUAGGAUUUCUAGUUGAAAUAGGUUUUAGAUUCAAGUCUAAAUCUAUAAAUAGGGCGAUAGUUUCGUUGGAGAAAAUCGCACACUUACAUAGAAAGAGGAUCAAAACACGAUCAAGAGUUUGAGAGAGUUUUGAGAUUUACAUGGGGAGUGUUGCCAAUUUGUGAAGAAAAAGUUGUAAGAUUGUAAUUAAGAGUUUUUAUUACAAUCAAAUGUGUGUAGGAUUCGUCUAAAAAGUUUGAGAAACUUGACGGACAGUAGAAGACUUAAACCUGGACUUUUUUUUCUUGGGUAGCUAGGAAUUAGAGUUUAUAAUUCCUUAGAUUACUUAUGUUUGUAAUUUGUUGUUGAGACUCAGAGUUCAAUGAAGAGAAGUUAAAUCCUACAAAGGUGUAGGUCGUGGUUUUUUUCUCUAAAAUGAGCCAGGUUCCUUAGGCAAAUUUGGGGUCAGAAUUCCAACAAUGUGCCUAAAAUACGCCUAUGACAAUACAAGAUUUUAUAUACAAUCCGCUAUUUGUCUUAGUAAGAAAGUUGCUUCCUACAGGCCCUCGGCUCAAAGAAUGAAUGGAUACUACAUUAUGGACUAAAACUGAGAAGAGCCCAACCCAGCAUUCCUCUCAUUUCUUGGGGUCACACUAAACCUGUUUAUCAACUUUGAUUACUUCAAGGAAAUGACAAUAAACAUCCUUUUUUUCUCCACUUCGAUUACAAGAUAAUGUUCAAGCAGUUGAUCAAUAUGAAGUUCACCUGAUUAGUUCUUUGAAACUAAGAACAUGGAUACAGAUAAUACCUCAGAAGUGGGGACUUUUCUGAGCGAAACCCCGUCUUCCAACAAGCAACAAUCUCACUUAAGGUCAGGGGAUGUGAUUGCUUUGGUGUUUACACUUCCCGUGCCUGCUGAAAUGCUCAGUUGAUGGCGCAGACACCGACUUUAACCUCGGUAAUGUAUCUGGAUUGCUGACCAUGACUAUAUACCAGUUCCAAAAGAGGAGAUAUACAAAUGGCAUUUAACAGAAUAAUCAUAUAGGAAUAUUUCAAACUCAAAUGAACCUAAUCAUUGGUUAGAUCAAAUAUUGGAUAAAAGCUUUUGUAUUGUGCGAGAGAAAUGUGAGUGGCAAUAUGAGGCUGAUUAGGUCUCCUCAGGGAAAAUUACUUUUUUCUCUACAGUAAAGCUAUCUGGACUAUAGCAUCUUAUAUCAUUCCCA